AAUCGUGAAACGCAGCAACUCAUGUAUUUUUUCGUCUGCUACGAGUGACUUGUGUAGUUCUGCGAAAUAUUUAUUUUUUAAAAAACAGUGAUAGAAAAGGGGGUUAAGACCUCUUUUGAACUCAGAUACUUCAAUAUCAACAAUGAGGAAGAGGAUGAUGAUGAUGACAAGGAAUAAGUUCGUCUCCCCGUUGUUUCGUUUUUGCUGUAAAGUAAUAAACGAUGACCAUUAUAUUUGUACAAUUGUUACUGCAUUAAACUUGACACCAUUCCUUGA